rnacentral:rRNA from 1 species
UACGAAGGGGGCGAGCGUUGUUCGGAAUUACUGGGCGUAAAGGGCGCGCAGGCGGCCCUUGAAGUCAGGCGUGAAAGCCCCGGGCUCAACCUGGGAGGUGCGCUUGAUACUCGAGGGCUUGAGUGCGGGAGAGGAGAGUGGAAUUCCCAGUGUAGAGGUGAAAUUCGUAGAUAUUGGGAAGAACACCGGUGGCGAAGGCGACUCUCUGGACCGUAACUGACGCUGAGGCGCGAAAUCGUGGGGAGCAAACAGG